AGCGUGACUUUAGGGUUGGUGAAGCCCCAGGCACAUUCUGGGUACCCCUCAGGUCCAUUAUACCAACCACCAGCACUUGGAAGUUCUGCUGAAAGUCAAACUUUCAGCAGAUCCUCCUGAGGCGCUGGGGCUGCAAAUGCUUCAAGAUGAAUUGCUUGGUCACAAUGGAAAGCUGUCACUAUGCACCUCUGGACAACCAAGAGGCUGGUGGGAUGGCCUGACCUGCUCUCCAGCUCCACUGGUGGCACAGCCAUGACCUCCAGUGACCAUCAGAGACACCUCAGCAGCACUGGUGAGAGGGACAGCAGCUCCUCUGGGCCUGUCUAAUAGAUGGAUACUGCACAGAAAUGAGAGCUGGUCUGAAUUCCAGCCUCCUGAUUCCCUCCCUUCAAAGCCCUGUCUGUGCUGAAGAAUGGAGGUGGCAAAUCUUGGCCAGACCCAAAGGAGGGCAUGGAGGGGGUUUGUCGCUUAUUUUGCUGCAGAGGAGUUUGAAGUUCUCCGUUUCCUGGGUGUGCUACAGGAGCAGCAGAGUUGAGACACAGGCUUUUAAUGAAGUUUAUGUAAAUUUGGUGGUGUUUAUACUUAGCAGAACAGAUUUAGGAGUACUAAUAAAGCAGCAGAUGAGGCGUAGAAAAGAGUGAAGUUCUCCACCACUGUUAUUUUUUACCUUCCUCCCACCAUUCCCAACGAAAAGAGUCUGUUUCUGUUGCCAGUUUCUCUUCAAAACAAGUGCUUUUGAAAGCCCAUUUAUCCCCAAGUGCUGCUGAAGCAUCUCCCAAGGUGCAGUUCAGUUGUGUCCCGUUGCCUUUCUUCCAUGAGCAGCCGGGGGCAAUUCAGUCCAUGUUUGCUUUUCCCUUAAAGGGAGUGAAUUUUUCCCAACUCCACUGGUGGGUCUUUGUUCACUACCAUGGGAUCACUGAGGCAGGAAAAAGCAAAGCCAGGAUUUUCAUUAGGGGUGGUCAGAGUGAAGCUGGAGCAGCCUUUUCCUUGGGAAGAAGGUGAGGGUUCAUUCUGGGUUUGGAUGCUGAGGAAGAGCAGGAUGAGUCUCAUCCC